GUGCACUCACUUAGGUAGCACAUAUACUAAAAUUGGAAUGAUAAAGAGAAGAUGAUAAUGGUCCCUGCACAAGUAUGACACACAAAUUUGUGAAGUGUUCUAUAUUUUA
rnacentral:snRNA from 1 species